AGAUUUUAAAAACUCGACCAAAAAGACAGGGUUUUUCGGCAUCGGCAAGGAUGUUUGUUAAACAUGACCCUAAAUAAAGUUUUAAAAAAUUUCACAUCAUAUUUUACACGGACUAUCUUCUCAUUUUCAGCAAAGAUAAAGCACACCUCUUUUAUUUGAUAACCUGCAGCAUCGAUUAUCCACCUAGUUUUCUUCAAAUGGUUUUAACAUCUCAACGUCAAGAAUAAAAGCUGUGCUUUUUGUAAAAGAAAAGGCCUCCGAAUCAUUUUAUAGCACGCCAAAUUGCCGAAACGUAGGUCCAUCAGGCAAAGGUUUACAAAUAAGUCCUUGGUUCAUCAAAAGACCAUCUCAGAAAAUAAUGGCAGAACAAUUAAUUACAUGUAGUACAUGUUAGGACUAGAAUGACAGUAGGACUGCUGACGGGACACUUCAAACAGAAAUGAUGAAGUCUACAAAAGCUGGAAGGGAACCAUAAGGGAAGCACCGAAUGGGCCAGGGCACCGGGAGUUGAUGGAUGCAAAUUGUGCUCCAUUCUUUAUUUUCUCUUGCAGGCUGAGUUAGGGAUGAGCAUGGGCUGUGAGCAUACACAUCCUUCAAGUCUGUGAUUGCUUUUGCAUCAGGGUGAACGAGUUACAAAGUUACAAACACAACUCUCAACAUGGAUUGCAAUGGUGAACCUGCCCUGUGUUGUGAUCCACCUCCAAUGCGACGCUCCAAUGAGAACAUGACUAAAACACUUUUUUUGGGUGGCUGCUGGUAAAACGCUAAUCCAUCUAGCCGAGAAUUGACUGCAAGAAUAACAGAGCUCCUAGAAUUUUCAAUGAAAAAGUUUAAUUAAUUAUAGAGAUUUUCUACAUUUGAUAGAAUCUCUCAGAGGAAAAGACCAUAUUUGGGUUACAGAAACAAACAGUUCAUUCACUUAAAUCUACUCCUUUAUAAAUAUAUUUAUUUUGUACUUUAAAACAGUUUUUCAAAUUAUUUU